rnacentral:rRNA from 1 species
UACGAAGGGGGCUAGCGUUGCUCGGAAUCACUGGGCGUAAAGGGUGCGUAGGCGGGUCUUUAAGUCAGGGGUGAAAUCCUGGAGCUCAACUCCAGAACUGCCUUUGAUACUGAAGAUCUUGAGUCCGGGAGAGGUGAGUGGAACUGCGAGUGUAGAGGUGAAAUUCGUAGAUAUUCGGAAGAACACCAGUGGCGAAGGCGACACACUGGCCCAUUACUGACGCUGAGUCUCGAAAGCGUGGGGAGCAAACAGG